AUGUCAUCAGUAUUGAAAUCAGCUGUCAUGUACAGUAGAGCUGAGUCCUCCAUCUUAUCCAGUGUAAGAUCUCAGUCUCCCUCUAGAGUCAGUCAACAGCAGAACAGCAGUCAGACAUCAGAACAGAACCAGAAUGAAGCGGGAUAUAACACACUGCUGUCUGGAACUGCUCAUAUUUAUGACUCGGUUGAUGCAACAAUUAAUAAAGACUUUAGCACAGAUAGUGUAAGCGGACCUACUGACGUCACCUAUGCUGAGAUUGAACUCAAGUCUACAGAGAAACAGAAGAUAAAUAAAGAAAACAAAGGUAAACUGAAACAAUGGUUUUAUGAUAAUGACAGUAGUGUAGCAGAGUUAAAGACCUCUGGGGUAAAAAGUCCCUUUAAUUUUAAUUUCUUCCACAUCAGUAAAGAGCAACAAAUACCACCACAGUAUUUUUCUAAACACCUGUUUGUGGUUGUUCACUGUGAAAUUCACCUGAUCCAUGAAGGUCAUUGCAGGUUGUUGAUUUUGAGGUAAAUUGGUAAAAAUAAAUUAUUUUAUUCUCUCUGUAGAAGCUAGAGA
ensembl:lncRNA